GACGAACGCUGGCGGCGUGCUUAACACAUGCAAGUCGAACGGAAAGGCCCUGCUUUUGUGGGGUGCUCGAGUGGCGAACGGGUGAGUAACACGUGAGUAACCUGCCCUUGACUUUGGGAUAACUUCAGGAAACUGGGGCUAAUACCGGAUAGGAGCUCCUGCUGCAUGGUGGGGGUUGGAAAGUUUCGGCGGUUGGGGAUGGACUCGCGGCUUAUCAGCUUGUUGGUGGGGUAGUGGCUUACCAAGGCUUUGACGGGUAGCCGGCCUGAGAGGGUGACCGGCCACAUUGGGACUGAGAUACGGCCCAGACUACUACGGGAGGCAGCAGUGGGGAAUAUUGCACAAUGGGCGGAAGCCUGAUGCAGCCACGCCGCGUGCGGGAUGACGGCCUGCGGGUUGUAAACCGCUUUCGCCUGUGACGAAGCGUGAGUGACGGUAAUGGGUAAAGAAGCACCGGCUAACUACGUG
rnacentral:rRNA from 1 species